AUGCAAGUCGAACGGUAACAUUUCUAGCUUGCUAGAAGAUGACGAGUGGCGGACGGGUGAGUAAUGCUUGGGAACUUGCCUUUGCGAGGGGGAUAACAGUUGGAAACGACUGCUAAUACCGUAUAAUGUCUUCGGACCAAACGGGGCUUAGGCUCCGGCGCAAAGAGAGGCCCAAGUGAGAUUAGCUAGUUGGUAAGGUAACGGCUUACCAAGGCGACGAUCUCUAGCUGUUCUGAGAGGAAGAUCAGCCACACUGGGACUGAGACACGGCCCAGACUCCUACGGGAGGCAGCAGUGGGGAAUAUUGCACAAUGGGGGAAACCCUGAUGCAGCCAUGCCGCGUGUGUGAAGAAGGCCUUCGGGUUGUAAAGCACUUUCAGUUGUGAGGAAAAGUUAGUAGUUAAUACCUGCUAGCCGUGACGUUAAUAACAGAAGAAGCACCGGCUAACUCCGUGCCAGCAGCCGCGGUAAUACGGAGGGUGCGAGCGUUAAUCGGAAUUACUGGGCGUAAAGCGCACGCAGGCGGUUUGUUAAGCUAGAUGUGAAAGCCCCGGGCUCAACCUGGGAUGGUCAUUU
rnacentral:rRNA from 1 species